rnacentral:misc_RNA from 1 species
AACCUAGCACACCUGCGGUGUGUACCUGCGGAAGGAUCAUUACCUAGAGUUGUAGGCUUUGCCUGCUAUCUCUUACCCAUGUCUUUUGAGUACCUUACGUUUCCUCGGUGGGUUCGCCCGCCGGUUGGACAAAACUUAAACCCUUUGUAGUUGCAAUCAGCGUCUGAAAGAACUUAAUAGUUACAACUUUCAACAAUGGAUCU